UGGGGAAUAUUGCACAAUGGGCGCAAGCCUGAUGCAGCAACGCCGCGUGAGGGAUGACGGCCUUCGGGUUGUAAACCUCUUUUAGCAGGGAAGAAGCGAAAGUGACGGUACCUGCAGAAAAAGCGCCGGCUAACUACGUGCCAGCAGCCGCGGUAAUACGUAGGGCGCAAGCGUUAUCCGGAAUUAUUGGGCGUAAAGAGCUCGUAGGCGGUUUGUCGCGUCUGCUGUGAAAUCCCGAGACUCAACCUCGGGUCUGCAGUGGGUACGGGCAGACUAGAGUGCGGUAGGGGAGAUUGGAAUUCCUGGUGUAGCGGUGGAAUGCGCAGAUAUCAGGAGGAACACCGAUGGCGAAGGCAGAUCUCUGGGCCGUAACUGACGCUGAGGAGCGAAAGGGUGGGGAGCAAACAGGCUUAGAUACCCUGGUAGUCCACCCCGUAAACGUUGGGAACUAGUUGUGGGGUCCAUUCCACGGAUUCCGUGACGCAGCUAACGCAUUAAGUUCCCCGCCUGGGGAGUACGGCCGCAAGGCUAAAACUCAAAGGAAUUGACGGGGACCCGCACAAGCGGCGGAGCAUGCGGAUUAAUUCGAUGC
rnacentral:rRNA from 1 species